UCCGAGUUGGCCCCGGCAGUCUCCUAUGAGUCCCCGCCAUCACGCGCUGGCAACAUAGAACGAGGGUUGCGCUCGUUGCGGGACUUAACCCAACAUUUCACAACACGAGCUGACGACAGCCAUGCACCACCUGUGAACCAGCCCCAAAGGGGAAGGACUGUUUCCAGCCCGGUCCGGUCCAUGUCAAGCCUUGGUAAGGUGGGGAUGACGUACUUGCUAGGUAA
rnacentral:misc_RNA from 1 species